GACGUAGGGCGCGAGCGUUGUCCGGAUUUAUUGGGCGUAAAGAGCUCGUAGGCGGUUUGUCGCGUCUGCUGUGAAAACCUAAGGCUCAACCUUGGGCUUGCAGUGGGUACGGGCAGACUAGAGUGCGGUAGGGGUGACUGGAAUUCCUGGUGUAGCGGUGGAAUGCGCAGAUAUCAGGAGGAACACCGAUGGCGAAGGCAGGUCGACUGGGCCGCAACUGACGCUGGAGGAGCGGAAAAGCAUCGGGGAGCGAACAGG
rnacentral:rRNA from 1 species